rnacentral:rRNA from 2 species
CGCUGGCGGCGUGCCUAAUACAUGCAAGUCGAACGAACUCUGGUAUUGAUUGGUGCUUGCAUCAUGAUUUACAUUUGAGUGAGUGGCGAACUGGUGAGUAACACGUGGGAAACCUGCCCAGAAGCGGGGGAUAACACCUGGAAACAGAUGCUAAUACCGCAUAACAACUUGGACCGCAUGGUCCGAGUUUGAAAGAUGGCUUCGGCUAUCACUUUUGGAUGGUCCCGCGGCGUAUUAGCUAGAUGGUGGGGUAACGGCUCACCAUGGCAAUGAUACGUAGCCGACCUGAGAGGGUAAUCGGCCACAUUGGGACUGAGACACGGCCCAAACUCCUACGGGAGGCAGCAGUAGGGAAUCUUCCACAAUGGACGAAAGUCUGAUGGAGCAACGCCGCGUGAGUGAAGAAGGGUUUCGGCUCGUAAAACUCUGUUGUUAAAGAAGAACAUAUCUGAGAGUAACUGUUCAGGUAUUGACGGUAUUUAACCAGAAAGCCACGGCUAACUACGUGCCAGCAGCCGCGGUAAUACGUAGGUGGCAAGCGUUGUCCGGAUUUAUUGGGCGUAAAGCGAGCGCAGCGGUUUUUUAAGUCUGAUGUUAAAG